rnacentral:lncRNA from 12 species
AAUGCUCUGUUCUAGUCUCACAUCAUUUGCCAAAUAAAAUUCUGUGUUUUGGUUCAGAAAGUAUGGUCACUCUACUUGUAGAUCAUUUGCCUGUGGUCUUGCCUUAAUAGCUUUCUGGCAUUUGAUCUUUGUAGAAUCAUUUAGAGCCCUGCUGUUUUCUUUUCCACUUUACUUUGCUUAAUAGGCAUUUUUGUGCAGUGGCAGGAGAGACGAACUCUAAGGCUGAGGUUUCUUCUAGAUUCUAGGCCCAAAGGCAUUCUUCCAAUCUGAGGCAAUUUGCCAAAAAAGGCCCAGUGGUGAUGUGUACCCUCCUCUCUCUGAAUCAAAGGAAGGAAGUAAUGUCUGUUCCCAUACUCACCAUAAGCUCUGCUGGAUAUUUUCACAUGAAUGGCAUGGUGGGAUGAUGAAGAUGGUGAUGUUGAUGUUGAUGAUGGUCACAGCUCUUGAGUUCUUACCAUGGAUAUAGGAGAGCUUUAUAUACCAACAACACAAUGCGUGGGUCCCUCUUUUACAUAUGAGGAAAUAAUCCUGGAGAGCUUUUCCAGUUCAGCUGGUAGAAACCAUGACCCCUGGAAAGCCUCCUGUUUCUUUUGAUACAGACCCUCAAACAAAACGGAGGGGGACUGCCGAUAAAGGUAAGAAUGAAUUCCUACUUCUCUGACCCAGAUUGGGUGACAAGAUCACCUGAGACCAGUCACCUGAGACUGGGUGGUGGGGUCACAUGAAAAGAAUUGGACCACCAGGAGCUCAAACACAGAGAUGUUUAAAGGGUGGACAAGGAGGAUCUUAGGAGGGAGUGACCAGGAGGCCAUUGGGGAGAAAUUGUGAAGUCAACAAAGUACUUGUCCAUAAAAAUUAAAGCUGUUUUGUCUACAUUUAUUGCAUUUACAUUUUAAAAAAUUGCUGUUUGGGAAAUUCUGGUGGUAAAUUGGAAUUGGCAAACUAUAGCCUCCAGGUAAAUUUGGCUCAUGGCCCAUUUUUGUAUUUAUGAGCAACAUUUGAAAAAGUAUUGUUAAAAAAGAAGAAUAUGCAACAGAAAUCCUAAAAAAGCUGAGCCUGCUUUGGGAU